UAUACUUUUUUUUCCUUUCUUCUUUUUUUUACAUUAUAUAUGCAUUUCCGUUCAUUUUGUUUUAACUGGAAAUUAUAUGGACAUUAUUGAUCGGUUUAGCCGCCAUUGGUCGUGCUUGUGGACAUAUUCACUCUAGGUUGCUUGGCUCUUCAUCUACGUUAUCUCAGAUGUCAUGUCUUCACACAAGUACACAGUUAAACGGCAAACACUGGGAAAGGAAAAAUCUGAUUGUGUAUCCACCACAACAGAAAGAUGAACCAUGCAGACCUGCUAAUUUAGCAGUAAGAAAUUACUCAUCAUCCAGUUUUUUAUAUCGACUACAGCAAAGACAAGAUGUGGUACUUGGCUAAACUGCUGAAUCAUUCUCUGCCAAGGGAAAAUAUCUAAAGCGUAUUCGUUAUCAUGGAUGUGGCAUGUUUGGCAUCAUGGACAAAGUGCACUGCCACUACUUUGUAAAGCUCGUUGAAGGGGUCCCGCCGAAAGUCGAGCAGAAGACAGUAUUCGACCAGGCCAAGGAGUAUGUGGAGCAACUAAGGAACCGAACAAUUAUUAAUUCGCUAUAGUUUAAAAAGACUCUUGAUGUUUUGUUAAUGUGCUCAUGUAAAUAAUAACUGAAGAAUAAAGAAAUCACA